AGUGGGUAGCCUAACCGCGCGUUUUACGUGAGGAAGGCGCUUACCACGGUGGGGUUCAUGACUGGGGUGAAGUCGUAACAAGGUAGCCGUAGGUGAACCUGCAGAAGGAUCA
rnacentral:rRNA from 1 species